rnacentral:rRNA from 1 species
UACAGAGGGUGCAAGCGUUAAUCGGAAUUACUGGGCGUAAAGAGUGUGUAGGCGGUGCUCUAAGUUCGGUGUGAAAUCUCCCGGCUUAACUGGGAGGGUGCGCCGGAAACUGGAGUGCUCGAGCGUGGGAGAGGAAAGCGGAAUUCCUGGUGUAGCGGUGAAAUGCGUAGAUAUCAGGAGGAACACCUGCGGUGUAGACGGCUUUCUGGACCAUUGCUGACGCUGAGACACGAAAGCGUGGGUAGCAAACAGG